GACGAAGGAUCCAAGCGUUAUCCGGAUUUAUUGGGUUUAAAGGGUGCGUAGGCGGAUUGAUAAGUCAGUGGUGAAAGCCUGCAGCUUAACUGCAGAACUGCCAUUGAUACUGUCAAUCUUGAAUAUGUUUGAUGUGGGCGGAAUAUGACAUGUAGCGGUGAAAUGCUUAGAUAUGUCAUAGAACACCGAUUGCGAAGGCAGCUCACAAAGCCAUUAUUGACGCUGAGGCACGAAGGCGUGGGGAGCGAAUGGG
rnacentral:rRNA from 1 species